CAAUAGCGUAUAUUAAAGUUGUUGCAGUUAAAAAGCUCGUAGUUGGAUUUCGGGGCAGCCUGGCUGGUCCGCCGCAAGGCGAGUACUGGUCAGCCGCCCUUCCUCUCGAAAGCCCCGACUGCUCUUUAUUGCAGUGGUCGGGUAGUUCGGGACGUUUACUUUGAAAAAAUUAGAGGGUUCAAGGCAGGCCUACGCCUGAAUACAUUAGCAUGGAAUAAUGGAAGAGGACCUCGGUCCUAUUUUGUUGGUUUCCAGGACCGAAGUAAUGAUUAAGAGGGACAGUUGGGGGCAUUCGUAUUUAAUUGUCAGAGGUGAAAUUCUCGGAUUUAUGAAAGACGAACAACUGCGAAAGCAUUUGCCAAGGAUGUUUUCAUUAA
rnacentral:rRNA from 1 species